UGGACAUGCUCUUCAGAACUAUAAACUUGGUCAAAUUGCAUGUGAAUGAAACUUUGGACAUGGAAUCAAGGUUUUAAAAUGUCAGAAGAACAGUUUGGAAAGUGAAGCUGUCCCAUCAGCUGCCUUAGUCAUGUAAGACCAUGUUUUAAAAGGGUAGACUCUGUUGUUGCGGACAUUGUUCUAAGAAACUCUUCCGGUAGAAAGGCUGUGAACAUAGAGAUAGGUGUGA
rnacentral:lncRNA from 1 species